rnacentral:sRNA from 1 species
AUUUCCUCUGCCUUCUUCAAGAUAACUAGUUCAGAAGGUUUAUGUUUUCAAUUUCACAUAUCCUUGCAUUUUCCUGUUCAAGUUUUGAUCCAUAUGGAUAUCUUAAAUAUGCCUAUCAUAGUAAGUUUAUUUUAGAAG